rnacentral:rRNA from 1 species
CAAUAGCGUGUAUUAAAGUUGUUGCGGUAAAAAAGCUCGUAGUUGGAUUUCUGUUGAGAGCGACCGGUCCAUACCAUGUAUGCGUAUCUGGCUUGCUCUCGGCAUCCUCUCGAUAGACGUUACUGCGCUUGAUUGCGUGGUGCGGAUCUCGGGACUUUUACUUUGAGGAAAUUAGAGUGUUCACGGCAGGCUUUCGCCAGAAUACAUUAGCAUGGAAUAAUACUAUAGGAUCUUGGUUCUAUUUUGUUGGUUUCUAGAAUUGAGAUAAUGAUUAAUAGGGACAAUUGGGGGCAUUCGUAUCAACACGUCAGAGGUGGAAUUCUUGGAUUGUGUUGCGACGAACUACUGCGAAAGCAUUUGCCAAGGAUGUUUUCAUUGA